rnacentral:rRNA from 1 species
UACGGGGGGGGGCAAGCGUUGUUCGGAAUUACUGGGCGUAAAGGGCUCGUAGGCGGCCAACUAAGUCAGACGUGAAAUCCCUAGGCUCAACCUAGGAACUGCGUCUGAUACUGGAUGGCUUGAAUCCGGGAGAGGGAUGCAGAAUUCCAGGUGUAGCGGUGAAAUGCGUAGAUAUCUGGAGGAAUACCGGGUGGCGAAGGCGGCAUCCUGGACCGGCAUUGACGCUGAGGAGCGAAAGCCAGGGGAGCAAAGCGGG